rnacentral:lncRNA from 1 species
GAUUAGGGUUGUGACAUGAGAUCCUAUGAUGAUAAGAAAAUAGAAAACUUGGACUUUAUGAUGAAAACUAGUGACAGGUGAACUAGUGUAAUGGAGAGUGUAUGCAUGUAGCAUCAAUAGAAUAUGCAUGUUGGCUUCAAAGGACAUAUAUGCUAGAUGAAAAUGAAUGUUAACAUAUUGUUAAUUAUGGGAGAUUAUGUGCAUAUGAACCUAGUGUUGUGGGCCUAGGAUAGAUUGAGUGGCAUUUGAGCAUAGUGUAAAGAACACAUUGAUGCAAUGAACUUAGGGAUAGUUAAAUUCCCUGGUGUGAGUUAAUUAGUGUGGUUGAGACACUUGACAUGGACCUAGGGAUAGGU